ACGUAGGUGGCGAGCGUUGUCCGGAAUUAUUGGGCGUAAAGAGCAUGUAGGCGGUUUUUUAAGUCUGAAGUGAAAAUGCGGGGCUCAACCCCGUAUGGCUCUGGAUACUGGAAGACUUGAGUGCAGGAGAGGAAAGGGGAAUUCCCAGUGUAGCGGUGAAAUGCGUAGAUAUUGGGAGGAACACCAGUGGCGAAGGCGCCUUUCUGGACUGUGUCUGACGCUGAGAUGCGAAAGCCAGGGUAGCGAACGG
rnacentral:rRNA from 1 species